UGAGAUGUUGGGUUAAGUCCCGCAGCGAGCGCACCCCUUAUUGUUAGUUCCCCUCAUUCAGUUGGGCACUCUAAGGAGACUGCCGGUGACAAACCGGAGGAAGGUGGGGAUGACGUCAAGUCAUCAUGCCCCUUAUGACUUGGGCUACACACGUGCUACAAUGGGAAGUACAACGAGUCGCUAGGCCGCGAGGUCAAGCAAAUCUCUUAAAGCUUCUUUCAGUUCGGAUUGUAGGCUGCAACUCGCCUACAUGAAGCCGGAAUCGCUAGUAAUCGCGGAUCAGCAUGCCACGGUGAAUACGUUCCCGGGCCUUGUACACACCGCCCGUCACACCAAGAAAGUUGGUAACAACCGAAGUAGGUAAGGUAACCUUUGGGAGCCAGCCGCCCAAGGUGGGAUACAUGAUUGGGGUGAAGUCGUAACAAGGUAACCA
rnacentral:rRNA from 1 species